GAUGAACGCUAGCUACAGGCUUAACACAUGCGAGUCGAGGGGCAGCAUGGUCUUAGCUUGCUAAGGCCGAUGGCGACCGGCGCACGGGUGAGUAACACGUAUCCAACCUGCCGUCUACUCUUGGACAGCCUUCUGAAAGGAAGAUUAAUACAAGAUGGCAUCAUGAGUCCGCAUGUUCACAUGAUUAAAGGUAUUCCGGUAGACGAUGGGGAUGCGUUCCAUUAGAUAGUAGGCGGGGUAACGGCCCACCUAGUCUUCGAUGGAUAGGGGUUCUGAGAGGAAGGUCCCCCACAUUGGGAACUGAGACACGGGUCCAAACUCCUACGGGAGGCAGCAGUGGGGAAUAUUGCACAAUGGGGGAAACCCUGAUGCAGCGACGCCGCGUGAAGGAAGAAGUAUCUCGGGUAUGUAAACUUCUAUCAGCAGGG
rnacentral:rRNA from 1 species